UACGUAGGGUGCGAGCGUUGCCCGGAUUUACUGGGCGUAAAGGGCGCGUAGGCGGCGUGGCAAGUCACUUGUGAAAUCUCCGGGCUUAACUCGGAACGGUCAAGUGAUACUGCUGUGCUAGAGUGCGGAAGGGGCAACUGGAAUUCUUGGUGUAGCGGUGAAAUGCGUAGAUAUCAAGAGGAACACCUGCGGCGAAGGCGGGUUGCUGGGCCGACACUGACGCUGAGGCGCGAAAGCUAGGGGAGCGAACGGG
rnacentral:rRNA from 1 species